rnacentral:rRNA from 1 species
UACGAAGGGGGCUAGCGUUGCUCGGAAUUACUGGGCGUAAAGCGCACGUAGGCGGCUUUCUAAGUCGGGGGUGAAAUCCUGGAGCUCAACUCCAGAACUGCCUUCGAUACUGGAGAGCUUGAGUCCGGGAGAGGUAAGUGGAAUUCCGAGUGUAGAGGUGAAAUUCGUAGAUAUUCGGAAGAACACCAGUGGCGAAAGGCGACUUACUGGACACAUAUUGACGCUGAGGUGCGAAAGCAUGGGUAGCGAACAGG